rnacentral:rRNA from 1 species
GAUAAACGUUGGCGGCGUGCUUUAUGCAUGCAAGUCGCACGGUCAAUCGCAAGAAAGACAGUGGCAAACGGGUGAGUAAUACGUAAGUAAUCUAUCCCUAGGUGGGGAAUAACUUCGAGAAAUCGAGGCUAAUACCGCAUGUGGUGAUUCUUCACAAGAAGAAUUAAGAAAGCCGUAAGGCGCCUUAGGAUGAGCUUGUGUCCGAUUAGCUAGUUGGCAGGGUAAAGGCCUACCAAGGCGAGGAUCGGUAGCUGGUCUGAGAGGAUGUCCAGCCACACUGGGACUGAGACACGGCCCAGGACUCCUACGGGUGGCAG